rnacentral:rRNA from 1 species
ACGCACGCUGGCGGCAUGCCUAACACAUGCAAGUCGAACGAGACCUUCGGGUCUAGUGGCGCACGGGUGCGUAACGCGUGGGAACCUGCCCUUAGGUUCGGAAUAACUCCCCGAAAGGGGUGCUAAUACCGGAUAAUGUCUUCGGACCAAAGAUUUAUCGCCUUUGGAUGGGCCCGCGUUGGAUUAGCUAGUUGGUAGGGUAAAAGCCUACCAAGGCGACGAUCCAUAGCUGGUCUGAGAGGAUGAUCAGCCACACUGGGACUGAGACACGGCCCAGACUCCUACGGGAGGCAGCAGUGGGGAAUAUUGGACAAUGGGCGAAAGCCUGAUCCAGCAAUGCCGCGUGAGUGAUGAAGGCCUUAGGGUUGUAAAGCUCUUUUACCCGGGAUGAUAAUUACAGUACCGGGAGAAUAAGCUCCGGCUAACUCCGUG